AUAUAAAAUCGUUCAUGUCUGUGUGUCUGUGUGUGUGUGUGUGUGGACUGCACUUUCAUUGGACGGCGGUUGCCCCUGGCAACGGCUAGCCACGCCUUCGCCGCUUUCAUUGGACGGCGGUUGCCCCUGGCAACGAGUAGCAACUUUUCUCCGCGGGGUGGACGCCAUUUUUAAUAGCGCGGGGGGGGGGGGGGGGACCGGCACCCGUACCCAGCGUUCGCCGGGUGCGAAAAUCAGGCAAGGCGGGAGGCUCUGCACGGUGCUAGGCCUCGACACCCAACACGCCACUCUGAGGAACUCUUCCUCGUCAUUGUGAUGGGCAGCUUCUUCACCGUCCUCUAGAGCAUGGAGUGGGGGCCAACCGCUGGCUUGUGUGCUUCCUGACGUCAAUCAGUGUCUCCCUGUGUCUGGUGCAGCCCAUAAAGGUGUAAAUUUUUGCAACCAAAGGCCUCAUCACUUCAAGGGGAAUGGAGAGCUACAGCGAAAUGGAACUGCAGCUAUUUCUGGAAGAGUGCCACCCGGAAGAGACCGAAGCACAUCACUCGUGGAGUAACGACUCCAGCGUGUCUGAGACCGGGAGUCCGGCCGCCACCGGAGAACUCUGGCGCAGGAUUUUGAAGUGCAGACGGGUGUCCUCCUUCCUGCUGGACACCGUGGUUUACCUGUGCUACGUGGUGG